rnacentral:misc_RNA from 1 species
UACGUAGGGUGCGAGCGUUAAUCGGAUUUAUUGGGCGUAAAGCGUGCGUAGGCGGCUUUUUAAGUCGGAUGUGAAAUCCCCGGGCUUAACUGGGGGAGUGCAUUGGAUACUGGGAAGCUAGAGUAUGGGAGAGGAUGGUAGAAUUCCAGGUGUAGCGGUGAAAUGCGUAGAGAUCUGGAGGAAUACCGAUGGCGAAGGCAGCCAUCUGGCCUAAUACUGACGCUGAGGUACGAAAGCAUGGGGAGCAAACAGG